GACAGAGGUGCCGAGCGUUAGGCGGAAUCACUGGGCUUAAAGCGCGUGUAGGCGGAUGAGCACGUCUGUCGCUGAAAUCCCCCGGCUCAACCGGGGAACGGGCGCGGAUACGGCUCGUCUGGAGGGGCGUAGGGGGACCUGGAACUUCCGGUGGAGCGGUGAAAUGCGUUGAGAUCGGAAGGAACGCCCGUGGCGAAAGCGAGGUCCUGGACGCCUACUGACGCUGAGACGCGAAAGCCAGGGGAGCGAACGGG
rnacentral:rRNA from 1 species